AUUGACUAGAAGGAUAGCUGGGUUUAUUGAAAGUUUGCUCCAAAUGGACUGGAAUGCUGCAAACUUCAGCGGAGCGUCAGGCAGGCAGCGGGAGCUUACUGAACUGGAGCCUAAAAUGUAAUCCCUGCCAGGUUUCAAAUUUCACAGUAUACAACCACAGUUUUCAAACACUGUCAAAUGUUUGAUGAAAUCUUCCACAGCUGUUUAUUUGCCCUCUUUCCUUCCCUCCUUUUGGCCUCUUGACUGUGUGUGGUGUGUUUGAAGGCUGCAGGGAAGUGAAGAUACCCAUGGCUGGGUUUCAGUGGUGGGAGGAGGUGAGGAAUUCUGGUGCUUGCCUGUGGAAUAGAAACCAUCCUGCGUUUACCCGGCACCUCUCAUCUGAAUGAGACAGUAGCUUACACGGAUUAAGCUCUUUCUUCUUUCUGCAUGGCGGGCAGGGAAAACUGUAUUAUCCCCACUUAAAGAUAUGUAAAAGAACUAAUUUCUUCUAGAGAUUGUGACUUUGGCAUGUCAUUUGCUGUGAGAGGCAGCAGGGAUGGUGCUGAAACUGUAAUCUGCUCUUUCCCUACCUUGGCUGCUG